rnacentral:rRNA from 1 species
UACGAAGGGUGCAAGCGUUAUCCGGAUUCACUGGGUUUAAAGGGUGCGUAGGAGGGCAGGUAAGUCAGUGGUGAAAUCUCCAAGCUUAACUUGGAAACUGCCGUUGAUACUAUCUGUCUUGAAUACCGUGGAGGUGAGCGGAAUAUGUCAUGUAGCGGAUGAAAUGCUUAGAUAUGAACAUAGUAACACCAAUUGCGAAAGGCAG